rnacentral:rRNA from 1 species
GACGAACGCUGGCGGCGUGCUUAACACAUGCAAGUCGAACGGAAAGGCCCUGCUUUUGUGGGGUGCUCGAGUGGCGAACGGGUGAGUAACACGUGAGUAACCUGCCCUUGACUUUGGGAUAACUUCAGGAAACUGGGGCUAAUACCGGAUAGGAUCUCCUGCUGCAUGGUGGGGGUUGGAAAGUUUCGGCGGUUGGGGAUGGACUGGCGGCUUAUCAGCUUGUUGGUGGGGUAGUGGCUUACCAAGGCUUUGACGGGUAGCCGGCCUGGGAGGGUGACCGGCCACAUUGGGACUGAGAUACGGCCCAGACUCCUACGGGAGGCAGCAGUGGGGAGUAUUGCACAAUGGGCGGAAGCCUGAUGCAGCAACGCCGCGUGCGGGAUGACGGCCUUCGGGUUGUAAACCGCUUUCGCCUGUGACGAAGCGUGAGUGACGGUAAUGGGUAAAGAAGCACCGGCUAACUACGUG